GUGAACACCUCAUUGGAGCGGGUUAAAGAGAGGACAGGGAGCGAGGAAGGGGAGACAGGGAGCACAGUCUUCUCUUGACUUUUUCAAUAACAGUGCUGGUGUUGAAGAACUCAUCUGCCUGCAGCAGCUCAUGAGCCACUCGAAAUCAAACUGUGGAUCACAUGGCCUGAAAAUCCACCCUGGAUACCCAACCCCUGAGACAGGCUGGUAACACUAAGUUGGGAAGGGCUGAAUUCAGAUCCUCACUCAUGUCCCUCUGCCCUGAACCUCAGCAGCUGUGGAUAAUAUGUAUUGACAGUUUGGAGGCUGAUUCAACCUGUUAACUUUGGGGGGCAUCACAUGCCUCUCUUCUUGCUCCAGACCCUAUGCAACACCUCAAAACCGGAAGGCAAAGCCAUCAGUUCUGGGCUCAAAACUUCAUUUCAACCACGCCCAAAGACCAUGACUGAUGUGCUCCCUCAGGGCUAUGAGAUUCUGUCCUGACACUGCUGUGCUCCAAGGAAAGCUGUAACGAAUGAGCAUGAAAUAUGUGGAGGCCAAGGAUGGGAAGGCUUCAAGUGGCCCGGUGAAAGCCUCUCUUCUGAAACUGCAUCUGGUCAGGGAUGAGAGCACCUUUUCUGAGGCUGAGCUUUCAGUCAAGCCUUCUGGCUUCAAGGGUGCAGACCCAACAUGAACCUUCGGAGAUGCCAAUUCAUUUACUCUUGGCAAAACCGGGCUUCCUCUCUCAAUACAAAUGAAAGCAUGGAAGGCUUGUAAAAUUGACUCCAAAUGCAUUGUGCAUAUCUACAAACCCUUAAAACCCAACAUUUGGAUGAGCUGCUAGGAGAUGGAUCAGAAACACAUGGAGUGGAUUUUCUGUAAAUUGCACUGUGCGCCUCUGAAAUUAAAGGGAAAGAGCUUGGCAUGGUCCAUUUGGGAGUCACAGAUCUUCCAGCACUUGAAGCAUCAGUGAAUGUUCCCCAGGCAGAAGAUUCUUUGGCUCACUUCCACAGGCUCUCAUUUUCCUCCCAGCAGAACCUGUUAAAGGGGGAAAGGAAAUGAGAAAUAGAAGAGGAAGCGAGAGGGUAUUGAGAAGGCCUUCAGGAAGAUGGGCUGCGAACUUGGGGAUUGUAAAGCAUGUGGACAAUUUGGGAAGUGUGGGAUGAAGCCGGUUCUUAAAAUCUGUAUCUGUAACCAGGUUCUCUUGGCUUCUCCCUCAGUGAUUCAGGCAGAGAUUUUUCUGGGCUGGCCAUGGACCUUGCAAAUGAGUAUGCACAUCAUUUAGAAACUAUUCACAUCCUGGAGUGGCCAGAGCAUGUAGAGUGAUUAGAAUCAUGCAGACCAUUUCCAUGAAGCCUGGUGACACAUAGGUCAUACUGUCAUAUGCUAUUAUUCUGCUGGUGUUUGAAGGCAUGAUCUGUUAUUUUCCACCUGCUUACUUUUAAAACAAAGCCCUGUUGACUAAGUGCAUUCUAUUUUGAAUACUUCAAAUGAAUGAUACUUUGAGACCAAGUCAACUGUUGACAUUCAGCCAAGACUAUAACCCAUAUGUUCAAAGUUAAUGACCAUCUGGCCUAGAAAAGGCCAGAAGGAUCACGCGAUGUGUGGAAAGCACAUUGCAGACAAUCUCUGACUUUCCAAAGCACUUACAGACCCACCCAAGAACUGACAGCCCCUCACCGAGGCCGCCACCACGUGAGCCACCCUGCUGUGCAAUAACCUGUCUACAUGUCAGUCCCCAGCACCGGGCACUGAGUCCCAUCAGAAUAAUCUCAUUCUUGUUUGUUGUUGGGUGGGGAUCAAUGCAGAGCAAUGGGCAGGGCAUGUGUUUAGGCAUCAGACUGACCUAGCAUUUAAUCUCAGCUCAGUCAGGCUUCCAGCUCUGGGAGAGUCCACCACUCCUUGUUUUCCUACCCUGCUCUUUGCCACAUGCGGCCCCAUCAGAGGUCUAGGUUUACACACCUUGGUUGAGCCUGUGGGUUUAAAAAUCAGAGUUCUCACUUUGUCUAUCCCAGCCAAACAUCUGCAGCACGAAAGCUGCUCUGUGCACUGAAAGUGACAUGAAAUUUAUCUCACGUUACCCUUUUCCAGGACCGUAUCAGUAGGAGGGUGGGGCUGUCAGGGACAGAUGCACAGGCACUGGGGACCUUGGAACAGGGGCUCGUGGGCGUUAGACAUGAAUCUCCAGAAUAAGUAGGUUCCUGGCAUCUGUUCUGCCUAGCUCCGCACCACCCACUGCUCCUGGGCACGGCUUCAGCAGGUGGGAGGUGUCUCCCCCUGCCCACAGGGGUAUCCCUUGCAUGGAGAGACAGAGAGGUAAUUACAGAAAAACUGAAAUGCACAUUGGCAUUAGCAGAGUUGCGGGGCAGUUCCCUUCUGAAACGCAUUCAUUCCUGUACUUUCUGCUUUAUAAUAAACACAUAGCCCUUUGGAAAUUAGAACAAAGGGACUAAAGGUCUAAACAAGGACAAUGUAGUACACAAAACAAUGAGACAUAGGAAGGGACAGACGUAAGAUAUGACAGCAGAGUGAGGGAUUUGCCUCUGCUGACGUCAGGAGAGGCUUAGGAAAGAAAAGAGGAUGAUCAUAGCUUCUCAGGCAGCCAGGAGGAAAAUGCUUCCUGGCAGGCACCUGGACACCAGGAGCGUAGUCUCCACGCACGAGACAGGGCGGCAUGGGCUGGGAACUAGGAUUAGCUCAGGGUUGCUGAAAUGCCAAGGGAGGCAGGGCAGGAAGUGAGGAAGAAGAGAUCAGGGCCUCAUUGUAGAAGUCAUAUGUGCCAGCUUCAAUUUGUAUCCCGAAGGGAGUAAUAAAAGGUAAUUAAGCCAGGGCCUGACCCAAGGGGCUGCAUUUGCAUUUGAAAAUUUCUUCAGUGCAUGUGGAAGGUGUUUGGAGACAGGCAGGGCUAGGAUCAAGAGACAAAGCCAAUUAGGGUCUAUUUUUCACCUGCUUAUGAAGGCUAUCAGUAAGACAGCCAAUUUUGCUAAGGGUCUGAGCAAGAAGGAAUUGCGGAUGCAGCCGCCAGCUGACAUCUGCCCCCUAAGGCUCUGCAUAGUCCCUCUUCCCACAGUGGGGAAGGGGGCCCAGUGGGGGUUCCCUGGGCCAUCAAUCUUCAUUAAGUCCGUCAUUGUCCUCAAGAGCCGGGCAGUGCUUGGAAGGGCUGCUUGAUGGAAGUACUGUGACCCCAAAGUAUUUAGAAAUAAAGGCUAAUUGACCAUAGGAAAAUCAAACAGAUACCAUCACUGGUGUUUCAGCUUCUGGGCUCUUGGACACGUCUCCCAGUCACACUUCUACCUCAUCCCCAACAAUGGAGAUGCCUGCGAGGCACUCGCCGACCCUCCCAGCAGUGGAACUACCCAGGGACAUGAUGAAUGGCUCCUCACUGGGCACUUUGGAGACAGGGUGGGAGUAGCAAGUGGGACAGAAGUCAGCUCAAACGUCAGGCAGAGCAGGCCCUUUGCUGUCACUCCAGCCCAGCCUGACGCACUGUCCCAUCAUUGUGGAGAAAUUUUUACUGAGAU
rnacentral:lncRNA from 10 species